AGACACCGGCGGUAGGGCUGGAUGCGGGCCCGGCCCAGGACCGGUCUUCUGUCCUCACACCGGGGAGGACCACGCAGGUAGCUGGAGAGUCCAGGAGUCCAUCCCUCCUGCUUCCAGCGGACCUCCUCACAUCCAUGGUGUUCAUAUCCAAGUUGUCUCCGUGGAUGGAGAAGAGGAAUCCUCUCCCUAGGUCUCCCUCAGUCCUCUCCAGCCGCAGCCUUGACGGGAAAGAGCCGGCCAGGGAGUCUAGAAGCCGAAGCGGUGCCGAGCGGCUUCCCUAGGCUUGGUGGGCCCGCGUCCGGGACGGCCCGGGCCGUGGUUCUCGACCUGGGCUGUAAUGUCUCCAGAGUUUCUGGGCUUUUCCUGGGACUUACUCAGGCCGGCUACCAGUUUACUGGGCUAACCGCCUACAUGUAUUGAACAUUGAGUGUGUGCCUGGCGCUAUGCCGAAUGCCGUGUAGUAGCUCAUUUAAUGCGCAUAAGGACCUACGUAGUGAGAAAUACUAUAAAUAUCCCCAUUUGUGACAGGAAGGAGCUGAGUCAGAGAGACCGUGUGUAAUUUGCUCAGCGUCACACAGAUAGUAAACGGCAGAGCCGCUCUUCCUCCCUGUCCCGCCAGCUCCUGCCUUCUGCUGUCUUGGAUCUCCUAUGCACGGGAAACCUGUUGAAGGUAGGACAGCCGAAAGGUCAGUAUUCAGAGUGAGCCGUUUGCGAAGGUGUGUGUGCUUUGCACACUCACGGCGCCCUGUUUACACUCUGCAAGUCUUAAUACAUAGGGGGAAAGCAGCAGUCCAAAGAGGAGGAACUAUGAUGUUAUAAACUGCAGCGUCCUCAGGGACGGGCUCCUCUAGCAUUGUGUUGUCCAGUACGUUAGCCCUAGCCAUAGUGGCUUUUGAGCACUUCAGAUGUGACUAGUCCCAGUGGGAAUGUGCUAUAAAUGUAAAACACUGUACAAACUGGAUUUCAAACACGUCGUAUGAAAAAAAGAAUGCAAAAUAUCGCCAGGUGCGGUGGCUCAUGCCUGUAAUCCCAGCACGGAGGAGACAGAGGCAGGAGGAUCCUUUAAGCCCAGGAGUUCGAGACCUGCCUCGGCAAUAUAGUGAGACCUAUGUCUACAAAAAAAAAAUU
rnacentral:lncRNA from 10 species